rnacentral:rRNA from 3 species
UUUAUGGAGAGUUUGAUCCUGGCUCAGGAUGAACGCUGGCGGCGUGCCUAAUACAUGCAAGUCGAGCGAACAG